GAUGAACGCUGGCGGCGUGCCUAACACAUGCAAGUCGAACGAAAAGACGAUGAGCUUGUGCCUUUGACGUUAGCGGCGGGCGGGCGAGUAACGCGUGGAUCACCUACUUCUAUUUCGGGGAUAAUUACGGAAAAGAGGAUACAAUAAUACAGAAUAUAUUGUACCGCUGGGUGCAAUGGAGAAUCACGGCUUUCGUGGAUGGAUUAGCUGGUUACGGGCUGGAUUAGCUGGUUGGUAAGGUAACGGCUUACCAAGGCGACGAAGCGUAGCCGAACUGAGAGGCUGAUCGGCCACACUGGAGCUGAGACACGGUCCAGACUCCUACGGGAGGCAGCAGUGGGGAAUCUUCGGCAAAGGGCGAAAGCCUGACGCAGCAACGCCGCGUGGGUGAUGAAGGCCUUCGGAUCGUAAAGCCCUUUUAUUGGGGAAGAACAGCUGUGGAAUGAUAUAUGGCCGUAUUGACGGUACCGAAUGAAAAAGCACCGGCUAACUACGUG
rnacentral:rRNA from 1 species